rnacentral:rRNA from 1 species
AUUGAACGCUGGCGGCAUGCCUUACACAUGCAAGUCGAACGGCAGCACGGGUGCUUGCACCUGGUGGCGAGUGGCGAACGGGUGAGUAAUACAUCGGAACGUACCUUAUCGUGGGGGAUAACGCAGCGAAAGCUGUGCUAAUACCGCAUACGCCCUGAGGGGGAAAGCGGGGGAUCGAAAGACCUCGCGCGAUUAGAGCGGCCGAUGCCUGAUUAGCUUGUUGGUGGGGUAAAAGCCCACCAAGGCGACGAUCAGUAGCUGGUCUGAGAGGACGAUCGGCCACACUGGGACUGAGACACGGCCCAAACUCAUACGGGAGGCAGCAGUGGGGAAGUUUGGACAAUGGGGGCAACCCUGAUCCAGCAAUGCCGCGUGAGUGAAGAAGGCCUUCGGGUUGUAAAGCUCUUUUGUCAGGGAAGAAACACCGGCUCUAACACAGUCCGGGAAUGACGGUACCUGAAGAAUAAGCACCGGCUAACUACGUGCCAGCCGCCGCGGUAA